CUAUGGCUGUCGUCAGCUCGUGUCGUGAGAUGUUGGGUUAAGUCCCGCAACGAGCGCAACCCUCGCCUUCAGUUGCCAGCAGGUUGGGCUGGGCACUCUGGAGGAACUGCCGGUGACAAACCGGAGGAAGGUGGGGAUGACGUCAAGUCAUCAUGCCCCUUAUGCCCAGGGCGACACACGUGCUACAGUGGCGCGUACAGAGGGCUGCGAUGCCGCGAGGCGGAGCGAAUCCCAAAAAGCGCGUCUCGGUUCGGAUUGCAGGCUGAAACUCGCCUGCAUGAAGCCGGAGUUGCUAGUAAUCGCGGAUCAGCCAUGCCGCGGUGAAUACGUUCCCGGGCCUUGUACACACCGCCCGUGGGGCGGGGGCGGCGGGCCGGGCGCGGGGCGCGGCGGGCG
rnacentral:rRNA from 1 species